rnacentral:rRNA from 1 species
AGAUUGAACGCUGGCGGAAUGCUUUACACAUGCAAGUCGAACGGCAGCACGGGGGGCAACCCUGGUGACGAGUGGCGCACGGGUGAGUAAUACAUCGGAACGUAUCCUAGAGUGGGGGAUAGCCCGGCGAAAGCCGGAUUAAUACCGCAUACGCCCGAGAGGGGAAGUGGGGGACCGCAAGGCCUCACGCGAGUUGGGUUGGCCGAUGUCCAUUAGCUAGGUUGGCGGGGUAAAGGCCCACGAAGGCGAUGAUCGGUAGCUGGUCUGAGAGGAUGAUCAGCCACACUGGGACUGAGACACGGCCCAGACCU